UGUGACAUAAGGGUGGAAGCUGCACUUAGGUGAUGUAACUCUCUUGCCUGGGUCCUGUCCUAAGGUAGCCCGUGACAUAUCCAAGACCCAGCACCCAGGUGAUGUGGCGCUUCUGCCUAAUUUCUGCCCACAUGUGACACUGUGAUAUAUACCUCGAGAAGCAUGCCCACAAAAAGGGAAUUUUAACGUGUUGCUGGGCCCAGCACCCAGAUGAUGUCACUCUUCUGCCUGGGUCCUGCAUAAAGAGGGAAUUAUGACAUAUUGCUGGUCCCAGCACCCUGAUGAUGUGACUUUCCUGAAUGUGCCAGAGCCACAGAAGGAAUUAAAACUGACCUGCAAGACGUCUUUUCUUAAUGGAGAUCUAUAGAAGCUGAAGUCCAAAAGGUGACAAUGAAGCUCGGCAAUUACACAAUCUACAGAUAAAGAAAGAUUGCCAAGGAAGAGAAGCUGAGAAUGAAAGAAUGUGAGUGAGCAGAAAACAAGAGACAGCUGUCAGAGGCAGAGGGAAAUGUAAAAUUGAUUAUGGAAAAAAAAACACAGCUACAUGUGAGUUCAGAAAUUGAACACCAGCCUCUUGGGAAACCUCCAAUGGAGUGUUUUGUUUUCAACCU